UUCUCAUUAUCCAAAAAGACUUGAUAUUCGACUUACCAAUCAAGAUCUAACCUACGGUAACUGCAAAUGAAGAAUGAGAAAUAUGCGCGUGAAAAGGUGCGUGGCAAUGGCUUGCAUAGAGAGUAAUUGUUGCAGAAGAUGGGGAAAUAUACGAUAGUUAAAAAGUGGAAGCUGCUGUGAUGUGAUUACAAAAAUUCUGAGUGUUGGUACCGGAGGCCAGAGGGACUGGCCAAAACGGCAAAAAGGAACAAAACAGACACAGUUGAUAUAGUAGCAUUAGUACCUGCUGCAGCUGCUCCAACAACAUCUUUCUUGGAGUCUCUCUUGGUAA